GCUCACUUGGCCGAGUGGUUAAGGCGGCAGACUUAAGCUCAACUGCUAAGGAUUCUGCUACAUUUAAUGUGCGCAGGUUCGAACCCUGCAGUGAGCA